GGGCGCUUAGCUCAGCUGGUUAGAGCACCGGUCUUACAAACCGGGGGUCACAAGUUCGAAUCUUGUAGCGCCCA
rnacentral:tRNA from 1 species